rnacentral:rRNA from 1 species
UGUUUCGGCAAGGGGGUCAUCCCGACUUACCAACCCGAUGCAAACUGCGAAUACCGGAGAAUGUUAUCACGGGAGACACACGGCGGGUGCUAACGUCCGUCGUGAAGAGGGAAACAACCCAGACCGCCAGCUAAGGUCCCAAAGUCAUGGUUAAGUGGGAAACGAUGUGGGAAGGCCCAGACAGCCAGGAUGUUGGCUUAGAAGCAGCCAUCAUUUAAAGAAAGCGUAAUAGCUCACUGGUCGAGUCGGCCUGCGCGGAAGAUGUAACGGGGCUAAACCAUGCACCGAAGCUGCGGCAGCGACGCUUAUGCGUUGUUGGGUAGGGGAGCGUUCUGUAAGCCUGUGAAGGUGUGCUGUGAGGCAUGCUGGAGGUAUCAGAAGUGCGAAUGCUGACAUAAGUAACGAUAAAGCGGGUGAAAAGCCCGCUCGCCGGAAGACCAAGGGUUCCUGUCCAACGUUAAUCGGGGCAGGGUGAGUCGACCCCUAAGGCGAGGCCGAAAGGCGUAGUCGAUGGGAAACAGGUUAAUAUUCCUGUACUUGGUGUUACUGCGAAGGGGGGACGGAGAAGGCUAUGUUGGCCGGGCGACGGUUGUCCCGGUUUAAGCGUGUAGGCUGGUUUUCCAGGCAAAUCCGGAAAAUCAAGGCUGAGGCGUGAUGACGAGGCACUACGGUGCUGAAGCAACAAAUGCCCUGCUUCCAGGAAAAGCCUCUAAGCAUCAGGUAACAUCAAAUCGUACCCCAAACCGAC